GGAGGGUGCAAGCGUUAUCCGGAUUCACUGGGUUUAAAGGGUGCGUAGGUGGGCAGGUAAGUCAGUGGUGAAAUCUCCGAGCUUAACUCGGAAACUGCCAUUGAUACUAUCUGUCUUGAAUACCGUGGAGGUCAGCGGAAUAUGUCAUGUAGCGGUGAAAUGCUUAGAUAUGACAUAGAACACCAAUUGCGAAGGCAGCUGGCUACACGAAUAUUGACACUGAUGCACGAAAGCGUGGGGAUCAAACAGGAUUAGAUACCCUGGUAGUCCACGCCCUAAACGAUGGAUACUCGACAUACGCGAUACACAGUGUGUGUCUGAGCGAAAGCAUUAAGUAUCCCACCUGGGAAGUACGAUCGCAA
rnacentral:rRNA from 1 species